AUUUUGUGAUGGGGGCACUUUCGUAAUAAUUCUUUGUACCUUUCACAUGCCUCAUACAAGGACUCAUCAUCCAUUUGUUGGAAAUUAGUGAUCUCGUUCCUCAACUU
rfam:Gossypium hirsutum cultivar TM-1 chromosome 4, whole genome shotgun sequence